rnacentral:rRNA from 1 species
AGCGAACGCUGGCGGCAGGCUUAACACAUGCAAGUCGAGCGGGCACUUCGGUGUCAGCGGCAGACGGGUGAGUAACACGUGGGAACGUACCCUUCGGUUCGGAAUAACGCUGGGAAACUAGCGCUAAUACCGGAUACGCCCUUUUGGGGAAAGGUUUACUGCCGAAGGAUCGGCCCGCGUCUGAUUAGCUAGUUGGUGGGGUAAUGGCCUACCAAGGCGACGAUCAGUAGCUGGUCUGAGAGGAUGAUCAGCCACACUGGGACUGAGACACGGCCCAGACUCCUACGAGAGGCAGCAGUGCGGAAUAUUGGACAAUGGGCGCAAGCCUGAUCCAGCCAUGCCGCGUGAGUGAUGAAGGCCUUAGGGUUGUAAAGCUCUUUUGUCCGGGACGAUAAUGACGGUACCGGAAGAAUAAGCCCCGGCUAACUUCGUG